UUCUGGGUCCCCUUCCACCACGCAGAAGCUUUACUUUCGCUUUCACUUUACUUUUGCUUUCACUUUAACAAAUCUUGCAGCCGCACACUCUUUGGGUCCGCCCGUUUCUCUAAUCAAGUUGUAACACUCGCUGCUGUGGUCCACAGCUUCAUUCCUUGAAGCCCGUGAGACACGAACGCUUCCAUUGAGAAAAACCUUCCAUCAGAAGAAGACUUCUCGUCUCAGUGGGACUGCUGAGUUGAAUGAAAAUGAACAGGACUAUUCUUCCUCAAACAAAGAGAUCGUGUGAUGAAGACUCACCAGAGCUGUUCUCUAUAAGCUUGAAGAGCAAUGGUAUCAGGUGCUUUUUUUUCUGAAGCUUUGGUAGUGUAACUGUAAGAGUCCUGGAAUUGGAAAAGCAAAUCCAGAAGUUGAGUUCCAUGACUUUUUUGCUGUUUGCCUUUGGACUUGCAUCAUUUAUAUUUUUAAUUCAUCGAGGAUGAGAAAAUUGAUUAACACAAAAUCUUUUCAUGUCUUUUCUGAUGAGAGACUAGCUGAAUCCAAGAAGAGAAGCCCUUGAAGAGUGUAUUCUAUUCUAGACAAGCAUUCACACAUUGGCUUCUUUGGUGCCAGGUAAUUAGAAUUUGUAAUUUGGUCUUAAUUAAACUGCAGACUACCCAAAGGCCUUGAUCAGUGGCCUUUUGACUGCCUCCACCGUUUGGAGGAAACAAACAAAACACAAAUUAGCCUUUAAAAAUAUGCCCAUUGAUUUCUCCUCAUCUCCCCAAACAUAUACAACCCCACCAGAUAUAUAUUUAUAUUGGCUAUAAAAAUAUGCCCAUUGAUUUCUCCUCAUCUCCCCAAACAUAUACAACCCCACCAGAUAUAUAUUUAUAUUGGGUAUAAUGUCAACAUAUAUCAAAUGUGCCAAUUAAACACAGAGCUCCUCUAAACUACCAAGCAUGUUAUUAUUAUUAUUUUAAUUUUUAAAACAUUUCUAACUUAACAGAAACAUUGGCCGGGCAGCACUAAUUGUAUCAUUCCUAUGUACUACCAACUUCUCACCAGUAUUGAACUUGAUCUUCAAAACUCUUCCCAGAUAGGGCUAUUUUUCCACUGACUCUAUUGUUAUUCCUUCCCAUUUUCCCUCCUCUGUUUUUGAUGCUUUUUAUUUUGGUUAGCAUGUUUCUGAUCAGCAUGAAAACUGCGCAGGAGCUUUUCUGUCUUGCAGAGCUAGUUAAUGAGAUUGUUGCUGCCUUCAGAUUCUAUAAAGGACUUCUCCAAUAUUGGAUUAAAGAAUGAAGAAAGGAUCAAAUUGAGACAUCCAGGGGGGAAGAGUUCCCUGGCAAAACUCCAAUCUGCCUGAGCACUGAGGUGGAGCCACAGAAGUCCGGGUCAUUUGCACCUGGGAGGAGCCUGGCCCCUCCUCUUCCUGUGUGGAAUCUGGGAUUUAAUCUGUGAGGAGGGAAGGCCAAGGGCAGGAAGCACAGGCUCUCACUUCACUAAGAGUCUCUGUUUCCCCUUUUUUUCCUUUAUGCCUAAUUAAUAAAUCCCAUUUUUCUCACUCUUCAAAUAGUCUUCAAGCCUAAAUUUUCAUGACCAUGGAACAAGGACCCCAUCUUUAGCUGAACUAAGGAAAAGUCCUGCAACAAAAUUCUUUGCUAAAAAUACAUGAGGUUGCCUUUUCCUUCUUAAUCUUAAAAGAAAUAUAUUUCAAUGGUUAACGUUUUAGUAAUUCAAAAAUUAUCAAGCAUUUGUUCACAACCAUAAGAUGUGCAUUGUUUUAUAUUCCUACUUAAUAAUAGACUAUAAUUGUCUAAUUAGACUGCCGAUGUUGAUCUUUGUGGCUCAUUGCAUUGAUUAUAAGCAGUGUUUUGGGUUUGUGUGUGUGUGUCAAAUUUAGGGUUUUUUUGGUAUGGCUGCUGGUUGGUGUAGCCUGUAUCCAGUAUCCUGUAUUAAUUCUAAUAUUUGCAUUUUGAACAUAUUUACAAGUUGCUAAAAUAGCAAAGCUUCGAGAUGAGCCUGGCUGAUAUGGCAAAACCCCGUCUCUACUAAAAAUACAAAAAUUAGCCUGGUGUGGUGGUGCAUGCCUGUAAUCCCAGCUACUUGGAAGUCUGAGGCAGGAGAAUCUCUUGAACCCAGAAGGUGGAGGUUGCAGUGGGCCAAGAUCGCACCACUGCACUCCAGCCUCGGUGAUAGAGCGAGACUACGUCUCAAAAAUAAAAUAAAAUAAAAUAAAAUAAAAAUAGCAAAGCUAUGUAUGGUUUCUCUGAGUUUUGUAAUUUAUCAUUGUUAACUGCAGAAAUUUAUUAUAUGAGACAUAUUAUAUGAGACAUAUAAGUGAAUUUGGAUUGGGUUUAAUUUUAUAUUUUUGAAUAUAGUUCUUCAAGAUAAAUUUUAUCUUAGACCUCAAGAAAUAAAAAUAAAAUAAAUUAGAUAUACAAACGA
rnacentral:lncRNA from 1 species